UGACAGGUUUUCCCAAAGUUGUGGGUUGUAUUGACGGAACCCAGAUAAGAAUUCAAGCUCCUUCACUGAAUGAACCUGAUUAUGUGAACAGGAAGGGAUUCCAUAGCCUCAAUGUUCAGAUGGUAUGUAGUCCCACUUUCAAGGUGACCUCACUUUGUGCCAGGUGGCCUGGAUCAUGUCACGAUUCGAGAAUUUGGAGAAAUUCACACCUUUGCCAACAUUUUGAAAAUGGGUUACAUGAUGGGAUUCUGCUUGGAGAUUCUGGGUACCCCCUUAUAAGAUACCUCAUGACACCCUA